UGCAUAAAAUGUAAUAAGUUUGAUGGAUGUAGAGUAUGAUUAAAU
rnacentral:guide_RNA from 1 species